rnacentral:rRNA from 1 species
AUUGAACGCUGGCGGCAGGCCUAACACAUGCAAGUCGAACGGUAACAGGAAGCAGCUUGCUGCUUCGCUGACGAGUGGCGGACGGGUGAGUAAUGUCUGGGAAGCUGCCUGAUGGAGGGGGAUAACUACUGGAAACGGUAGCUAAUACCGCAUAAUGUCGCAAGACCAAAGAGGGGGACCUUCGGGCCUCUUGCCAUCGGAUGUGCCCAGAUGGGAUUAGCUUGUUGGUGGGGUAACGGCUCACCAAGGCGACGAUCCCUAGCUGGUCUGAGAGGAUGACCAGCCACACUGGAACUGAGACACGGUCCAGACUCCUACGGGAGGCAGCAGUGGGGAAUAUUGCACAAUGGGCGCAAGCCUGAUGCAGCCAUGCCGCGUGUAUGAAGAAGGCCUUCGGGUUGUAAAGUACUUUCAGCGGGGAGGAAGGGAGUAAAGUUAAUACCUUUGCUCAUUGACGUUACCCGCAGAAGAAGCACCGGCUAACUCCGU